rfam:Salmo salar isolate Sally breed double haploid chromosome ssa04, whole genome shotgun sequence.
UCCCCUGUGGCUCAGUUGGUAGAGCAUGGCACUUGCAACGCCAGGGUUGUCGGUUCCUUUCCUACGGGGGAC